CUACGUAGGGGGCGAGCGUUGUCCGGAAUGAUUGGGCGUAAAGGGCGCGUAGGCGGCCUGUUAAGUCUGGAGUGAAAGUCCUGUUUUCAAGAUGGGAAUUGCUUUGGAUACUGAUGGGCUUGAGUGCAGGAGAGGUUAUCGGAAUUCCCGGUGUAGCGGUAAAAUGCGUAGAGAUCGGGAGGAACACCAGUGGCGAAGGCGGGUAACUGGACUGCAACUGACGCUGAGGCGCGAAAGUGUGGGGAGCAAACAGGAUUAGAUACCCUGGUAGUCCACACUGUAAACGAUGAAUGCUAGGUGUAAGAGGUAUCGACCCCUUUUGUGCCGGAGUUAACACAAUAAGCAUUCCGCCUGGGGAGUACGGCCGCAAGGUUGAAACUCAAAUGAAUUGGCGGGG
rnacentral:rRNA from 1 species